AUGAGAGCAGCUAGGCUGCAGCACAAGGAGCGGGCAGAACAGAACUUGUCCAUGUUCAACUCCAAGAAACUGUGGGACUCAAUUAGAGGAAUGACAAACAUGGAGGCUAAAAGGAAGCCCCUGUUUGCUCAGGAUGAGAGUUUAAAAGCAAAUGCACUGAACCAAUUUUAUAUGCGUUUUGAAUCUGACAACAAUAGGGACUGCUGUGAUGUUUUAGAUAAUGUAAAUUGUACUGUGAAGGACAGGAUUUUUAUAGAUCCACAUGCGGUAACCAAGGUUUUUAAAUCAAUGCACCUAAAAAAAGCGACGGGGCCAGAUAAUAUGUCCACUUUUCUUUUAAAGACAUUUGCAGAGGAAUUGUCUCCGGUAUGGCACCAGCUGUUUCAACUUUCUAUUGAUAAACAUGUUGUACCUGAGAUCUGGAAAAAGUCCACUAUAAUUCCAGUUCCAAAAAAGGCAUGUCCUCAGGAGGACAACGAUUAUAGGCCUGUUGCAUUAACUUCCAAUGUCUUCAAGGGCCUGGAACGACUUAUGUUAAAUGUACUUCGCUCAGAGGUGGAGCCAGUAUUAGACAAAUAUCAGUUUGCAUAUACAAAGAAACGAAGUACAAGUGAUGCCAUAUCAACUAUAAUGCACCUUACAUUGAAGCACCUUGAAUUCCCAGGUGCAUAUGCUAGACUGCUCCUUAUUGAUUUUAGCUCUGCUUUUAACACAAUUCAGCCACAUAUUCUCCUAAGAAAAUUAGCCCUUCUGAAUUUAAAUCCAUUUUUAAUCAGGUGGUACCACUCAUUCCUUACUAAGAGGCCACAGCAGGUGAAGUUUAAUUCCUCCUUAUCAAAUACAGAAAUAUGUAGUACUGGUGCCCCUCAGGGAUGUGUCAGUUCACCAUUUUUGUUUAUUCUGUAUACAAAUGACUGUGUUAGUUCUGAGCCUAAUCAAUAUGUGGUGAAGUUUUCGGAUGAUACAGCUGUUCUUAGUCUGCUCACUAAGAACUCUGACUCAUCCAUUCACAGAGAUGCUGUGGACAGGUUUGUGGACUGGUGCGACAAUCAUAAAUUACAGAUUAACACCUGUAAGACUGUAGAAAUGCUCUUUGAUCCCAAAUCAAUUGGUGACCGAAGCCCUGUGACAAUACAUGGCAAUAACAUUACUCAACAAAAUUCAUGCAAGUACCUAGGCAUUCACAUUGAUAGUGACCUGAGCUGGCAGACACAAGUAGCCACUGUGUGCGCCAGAAUCCAUCAGCGCCUCCACUUUUUACGCAGACUGCGGUUGUUUGGUGUCAGUAAAAACAUAAUGUUAAUUUUCUAUAGGGCAGCAAUAGAGUCUAUCUUACGGUAUGGUAUCACCAGUUGGUUUGGUAAUCUGAGUGUCAAACUUAAAUCACAGAUUCUCAACCUGGUCAGAGUAGCGGGCAGGAUUAUGGGUCACCCCCCCUUAACCCUCAGGAACUGUUCAACGAGGCUGUCCUUACUCAGGCAAAAAACAUUCUAA
rnacentral:lncRNA from 1 species